rnacentral:rRNA from 1 species
CCUACGGGAGGCAGCAGUGAGGAAUAUUGGUCAAUGGGCGAGAGCCUGAACCAGCCAAGUCGCGUGAGGGAAGACGGUCCUAUGGAUUGUAAACCUCUUUUGUCGGGGAGCAAAAAGGCCUCGGGAGGCCACAAGUGAGAGUACCCGAAGAAAAAGCAUCGGCUAACUCCGUGCCAGCAGCCGCGGUAAUACGGAGGAUGCGAGCGUUAUCCGGAUUUAUUGGGUUUAAAGGGUGCGUAGGCGGACUGGAAAGUCAGCGGUAAAUUCGAGAGGCUCAACCCCGCCCGGCCGUUGAAACUGGGGGCCUUGAGUGGGCGAGAGGAAGGCGGAAUGCGUGGUGUAGCGGUGAAAUGCAUAGAUAUCACGCAGAACCCCGAAUGCGAAGGCAGCCUUCCGGCGCCCUACUGACGCUGAGGGACGAAAGUGCGGGGAUCGAACAGGAUUAGAUACCCCAGUAGUC